rnacentral:lncRNA from 1 species
CUUUUGGAUGAAAAUGAUAGACUUAAACUGAGAACCGAAACCAUACAAAAAUUUGACUCUUUAAACGCCAACUUGAGCUCAGAAAACAAAAUUGAUGUUGAAAAUGCAUCUGAGCUUAAUGAGGAUGACAACAUGAGUGAAAUUUCUGUAGAGGACACGGUUGACUGCUCAGAAUUUGUAAAAAGCGAACCUGAAAACCACAAGAAUCUAAUUUCUGAAAAUUCAGUGGAGUUCGCUCGAUUGUCCCAACAAAAGUCCCCGAUCUUAGCAGAGAAAGCGGUUGUAUAUCAAAAGGUCAGGACCACUCCAAAUCAAGUGUACAAGGUCACUGGAGUAACCGAACAUCAGACCGCUGAACUCACAGCUAUUGUAAACGAAGACAAUGCUGAUGGCUGCGAUGAGUACUUCUGGUCAGCUCCAAUAGAUAAUGCAAACGAAACGGUAGGCUUAUCAGAAAGAACCUCAUGGAUGAGUAAAGGUAGAUACAUACCAGAACCCUUGAAUAAGCCAGAUAAUUUCGAUGAGCCAAGUACUAGUGGUACGAAAGACAUUCCUCAAGAGAAUGGAAGUUCGGCAAAAGAAGACAUUCCCUCUAGUUCCUCAGUUCAAAGUGAAACUCCUACAGUUCAAAGUGAACCAGCCAAGGAGAAACCGAAAAUGAAAGCCAAUAUUCAUCAUCAACCGAAGCAGAUGAGGAAUAAGAAACGUGAAAGGAACCAGAGAUACAGGAAGAAUCUCUCUGAAAGGAAACAAUUCUGGCAAUCCCAGAAUGCAUAUUUCUCACAUCAAGACAAGAAUCUGAAGUUUGAGAACAAUCCUGUCAAAAAGCAUGAGAGCCACAACAACCGAAAGCCAAGGUUCGGUUCAGAAGAGAAUACCAACCGAAAGCAAAGGCUCGGUUCUGAGAAUGACUCCAACCGAAAGCAUAGGUUCGGUUCAGAGAACUGCUCCAACCGAAAGCAAAGGUUCGUUUCAGAAGUCAAAAGAGAUCAAAACUCCAAGGUCAGUCCCACCAAUGAUCAAAAGCAAAAGGGUCACCUAGAGUCUCCAGCCAAGAAGUCAUCUCAAUCUAAGCCCACUCCUUCUCAUUCAUCUAAUUCUUCUAAUUCUUCCAAUUCAUCUCCAUCUUGCUCUAAAGCUCAUUCUGUUCGUUCUCAAAAAUCUCAUUCGUCAGCUGAACAAAAAGGCAAACAGAAGGUUAAUGCAUCCAAACCAGAGUCUAAACCGAACGCACCUAAUCCUAAUAAAAUAAAAGUCUUUACCAUCAAAAAGAAAGAUGAAACAACACUUAUAAAACGAACAUAUCUUGUUGACAUCUCUCUUACUAUUCCUGUUCCUAUGAAAAGCUCACGUGGACCCAAGAAACUUUGGGUUCCUAAAUCUGCUUAAUUUUUGCAGGUUAUAAGUGACGAGCAGUUCGACGAAGAAUGGUACAUCGAUAGUGGCUGCUCGCGUCACAUGACAGGAAGGAAAGAAGAGCUCAGGGAAUACAGGUCUCUUUCAAAUGGUGGCAACGUCAAGUUCGGAAACAACUCUUUCGGCACCAUAAAGGGAUACGGAAUGAUAACUAAUGGUGAUUUUACUAUAAGGAAGGUGGCUUAUGUGGAAGGACUACAACACAACCUCAUCAGUGUAUCUCAGCUUGUUGGAGGUACAGGUCUCAAAGUCUCAUUCGACGAUGAAGGUUCUGAAAUUAUUGAGAAGAAGACGAAGAAAGUAAUUCUCAAAUCGGAACGUAAGGGUGAAAUGUUUCCUCUAAACCUCAAACCCAUCAAAGGAAACCUAGCUAUAUGCUUGUUAUCAAAAGCACAAUUUGACGAAAGCAGGUUGUGGCACCGAAGACUAUCUCAUCUCAACUUUAAGGAUAUCAACAAACUUGUCACUGGAGGUCAUGUUCGAGGUCUUCCAUUGCUCAAGUUCGACAGAGAUCAUUUGUGUGCUGCAUGCGAAAUGGGGAAGCAGAGUCGUCAAAGUCAUCCAUCUAUAAUUAACACUAAAGUUGUUGAACCACUCGAAUUACUUCAUAUUGAUUUGUGUGGUCCAUCAUCUAUCGAAAGCAUCGGUGGUAGCAAGUAUAUUCUUGUUAUUGUUGAUGACUUUUCGCGAUUUACAUGGGUGUUCUUUCUAAAGCUCAAAUCUGAAGCGACUCAUAAGCUGAAAGUGUUCAUCAAGCAGAUUGAAGUACAGCUCAAGAAGGUCGUUCGCAACAUCAGGAGCGACAAUGGUCUGGAAUUCAAGAACAGGGAAUUUGAAGAAUUUCUAGCAGAAAAGGGAAUAAGUCACAACUUCUCAGCUCCCUACACACCUCAACAGAACGGAAUUGUCGAAAGACGAAACCGAUCUUUGUGUGAAGCUGCCCGAACUAUGCUAAGUUUCGCUUCCUUACCUCUUUAUUUUUGGGCUGAUGCUAUUUCUGCUGCUUGUUUUACACAGAACAGGUCAUAUCUCAACAAGCGAUUCACGCUCACACCUUAUGAGAUUCUCAACAACAGGAAGCCCAAUGUGAAAUUUUUCCACGUGUUCGGCUCACGGUGUUUCAUCUUUAACUCUAAAGAACACCGCAACAAGUUCGAUGUCAAAGCCGACGAGGGAAUCUUUCUGGGCUACUCUCUCACUUCCAAAGCAUACAGAGUCCUAAACAAGCGUUCGAGGAAAAUCGAAGAGACCUAUUACGUGACUUUUGAUGAUAGCUAUGUCAAAAAGCUACAGGCCAAAGAAGACACAGCUGGGGAAAUCUUUCCUCAAACUGGCCAAGUCACAGUCUCGAUCGCUAAUCUAUACGAAAAGUUUAUGGAGCUCUUUGACGAACCAGAGAAAGCUACUCUCUCAGAAGCAGGCGCAGCAGACAACAAGGUAGACCAUAUGAAACAAAUUGUCGAAGAAGCUGCCAGGAGAAUGAACAAAGGAGUAUCGAAUUCUGAUGAACCUCCAUCCAACGAUACUUCAGUUGAGGGGGAGCCAAGCUCACAUGUUGAGGGGGAGCCAAGCUCUCCAACUGCUCCAGAAAGUCCAACUCCAACCGAAAGUACUUCUCCAACCGAAAGUGCUUCACCAACCGAAGGUGCAUCAACGCCUGAAAGCCCAGCACCACAAGAAACCUCUGAACCUCAAGUUUCUCAAAGCAUUCCAGAAAGCUCAUCUAUCGAGGGGGAGCAUGGUGAUAUGUCACUCGACUAUGAAAGCCUAUCCGAGCCAGAAGAAAUGAUCAAUGCUGNNNNNNNNNNNNNNNNNNNNNNNNNNNNNNNNNNNNNNNNNNNNNNNNNNNNNNNNNNNNNNNNNNNNNNNNNNNNNNNNNNNNNNNNNNNNNNNNNNNNAAGACGAAAACAUUUAUUUACAAAGAGACAAUUUAAAGUUGUUAAGACAGCGUAACGUUUUUUGUUUGAUUGCAAAACGUCUUUACACUAAUAUUACUCAGCUUCACUUGGAUUGUGAAAUAGGACAAAAGAUCCAUCGUAUGAUUUUUCCCUUCCUUGAGUUUAAGGAGGAUGAAAUCGAUGCUGAAGCUUAUAAUUGUGAGAAUGUGAUAUCAUCUGAUGACGUCAAUCCGACCUAUAUGUAUGGACUAGACAAAAUUGAAUCUUUCAUUAAAUCCAAGGACCACAAGGACAUGCUCAAAAACCUUUUGGAUGAAAAUGAUAGACUUAAACUGAGAACCGAAACCAUACAAAAAUUUGACUCUUUNUGAGCUUAAAAAACAAAAUUGAUGUUGAAAAUGCAUUGAGCUUAAUGAGGAUGACAAUAUGAGUGAAAUUUUUGUAGAGGACACGGUUGACUGCUCAGAAUUUGUGAAAAACGAGCCUGAAAACCACAAGAAUCUAAUUUCUGAAAAUUCAGUGGAGUUCGCUCGAUUGUCCCAACAAAAGUCCCCGAUCUUAGCAGAGAAAGCGGUUGUAUAUCAAAAGGUCAGGACCACUCCAAAUCAAGUGUACAAGGUCACUGGAG